CAUGCAAGUCGACGAAGCACUUUGAACUGAUUCUUCGGAUGAAAUUCUUAGUGACUGAGUGGCGGACGGGUGAGUAACGCGUGGGUAACCUGCCUCAUACAGGGGGAUAACAGUUAGAAAUGGCUGCUAAUACCGCAUAAGCGCACGGUACUGCAUGGUACAGUGUGAAAAACUCCGGUGGUAUGAGAUGGACCCGCGUUGGAUUAGCUAGUUGGCAGGGUAACGGCCUACCAAGGCGACGAUCCAUAGCCGGCCUGAGAGGGUGGACGGCCACAUUGGGACUGAGACACGGCCCAGACUCCUACGGGAGGCAGCAGUGGGGAAUAUUGCACAAUGGGGGAAACCCUGAUGCAGCGACGCCGCGUGAGCGAAGAAGUAUUUCGGUAUGUAAAGCUCUAUCAGCAGGGAAGAAAAUGACGGUACCUGACUAAGAAGCCCCGGCUAACUACGUGCCAGCAGCCGCGGUAAUACGUAGGGGGCAAGCGUUAUCCGGAUUUACUGGGUGUAAAGGGAGCGUAGACGGAAUGGCAAGUCUGAUGUGAAAGGCCGGGGCUCAACCCCGGGACUGCAUUGGAAACUGUCAAUCUAGAGUACCGGAGGGGUAAGUG
rnacentral:rRNA from 1 species